CCUACGGGGGGCAGCAGUGAGGAAUAUUGGUCAAUGGGCGCAAGCCUGAACCAGCCAAGUCGCGUGAGGGAAGACGGCCCUACGGGUUGUAAACCUCUUUUGCCGGGGAGCAAGCCUGAGCACGUGUGCCCAGGCGGAGAGUACCCGGAGAAAAAGCAUCGGCUAACUCCGUGCCAGCAGCCGCGGUAAUACGGAGGAUGCGAGCGUUAUCCGGAUUGAUUGGGUUUAAAGGGUGCGCAGGCGGGCUGUUAAGCCGGCGGUAAAAAUUCAGGGCUCAACCCUGUCGAGCCGUCGGAACUGGCAGCCUUGAGUGGGCGAGAAGGAUGCGGAAUGCGUGGUGUAGCGGGGAAAUGCAUAGAUAUCACGCAGAACGCCGAUUGCGAAGGCAGCAUACCGGCGCCCGACUGACGCUGAGGCACGAAAGCGUGGGGAUCGAACAGGAUUAGAUACCCCAGUAGUC
rnacentral:rRNA from 1 species